UGAACUGAUGCGUCUUUGGAAGUCAAGAGGGCAAAAGCAAACUGAAAAAAUUCCUAACUUUACCAGAGAAGACCUUCAUUCCUUACUGGGUACAGCAAAACAAACACAUAAAACCAAGGACGACUCAAGGCAAACACAGGAACAGCAUUUCAGAAGACAGAGAAGCUCUGGGAGUGCAGUGGCUAACAGGAGUUGGAUUAUCAUUUUCCUGCAAACCAGACUAUCACUUCUUCAAGGGAAAACACUCUGGAUGGAGUCCCCAGAGUGUGUCCAAAGGGGCACUUCACUGGAGUCACGGCAGCACACGCGUCAGAUGUGGCAAUAAUGGCCAUGGAAGGUGCCCUGUCCUGGGUUUCAGCUGGGUGAAUCAUAUGAUCCCAAUCCUCCGGCAUUCUUAAUUUCAUUAACGACACAAUUAUGAAUAAAUGAAGGUGAGUGUAAAACCAUGCCAUGACCUAAAGUGGAUGUGUAUUGUGUAUUUCAAAUAGAGGCAGGAGGAGGGGAGCUAAAAAGGACAUGGAUCAUGGAAAUUGUUUAUAGUAUUAAAACUUUGGUCUGAAACAUAAGGAGACAGUAACUUGCCUUCUAAAAUAAGAACUUCCUUUAAAAGCAAGAAGGAUGAUGUGCUACUGAAAUGUUAUUUUGUAUAAUUAAUUCCUAAGAAUAGCAGCAACCACAAGCAUCUCUAUGAAGGGGCCUUUAAUUAUUUCUAAACCAAAUUGUGCAGACAUUGUAUUUCUUUUCUCAAAACCACCUUACAAAACCUUUUGCUUAACUAAGAAAAUCACCCUACUCGAGGUGUAUAUUUUCAUUGCUAAUUUCUUUUUUGAAGUCCUCUCACAUUGUCCAAGACUUAUUGCCCUCUGCCAUGCCAGGAAUACCAGGAGAUUUCACAGGGACUUCCAUAGAGCAGCACUCAGCAGGUCAGAGUUGAGCAGUGUCGUGUGGAAUGACGUAUUUACAGCAAGGAUGCUAAGGAUGUGAACCACGCAAUGCCCCAGCAAUGAGCCUCGCUGAUGCUUCAAGCACUGAUUAUUCUCUGCUUCUCAGAACUAGGGUUCUUCCAGGAAAAGAAAAAAAAAAAAGAAAGGAAGAAAAAGCAACAAGCCAAGAGCUGUCUGAUAAUGAAAAAAGGAGAGAAUUCACUACUAGGAAAGCACGAGAUGUCAGUUGAAAAUUUUGGUAUUGAUAAGGUUCAAUAGGAAGAGAAAACACACAUUCAGUGGACUCAAGAAUGAAAAACUAGUAUUGGUUUCCCUGAGAAAAUAAUUUAAAAAGGCAGGAGGGAAGAAAUUAUUAUGGUGGAGCUCUAUGAUGAAAAAGGCAGCAGUGAUAAAUACCACCUCCACUCAGGGCAGCCUGGCCCAGCCAGGUGAGCACACAACAACACACACCAUUACCUGCACUUUUCAAAAGCAAAGAUAGGGAAUGAGGCAAGAUCUCAACAGCCAUGGCAAGGUCUUGGAUUCAGCUUCAGCCUUGAACAUCCUCCACUCAACAUCACCUCCCUUUGCAGUACAUUUCCAUAGCUACUUCUAGGGUGAGGUGACAUGUCUGAUGAAUCUAAUGAGAUUUUGUUCCUUUAAGGAUUCCUGUUACAAGAUUUCUUUGGAAUUGUUGGGUAUUUGUUUUGGAAUUGUUGGGUAAUUGUUUUGCAAAAGGUGAAUGUCUGAAGUGGAAAGUAAUAUUAAGAAUCCUUGGUCUGUCUCCUCACUUCCUUUUCCUCCUGGCCCCUGAGUUUAACCCGGUCCCUGCAUCCAUCAGUCAGAGCACAGGUGCAAAGCAGAUGAAGAAUGCCAGUAAGGCAUUUCACCUGCUCCUCAUGCCAAGUGCCUGCAGGCAGGCCCUGCACACCGAGCACAGUAACCAACUCCCUCCAGCUGGGAAUCACACUGGGAUGAUCUGAUGCAGCAAGUCCCUGUACCUGCACUGAAGGAAAUGCCUCACAGGAGCAUCAAAAACUCACCACAAAACCUCCAUGCUGAAUACUUCCAAAAUAUUCUGAGCUCUGCAAAAGGCAGUUUGUUUGUGGGACAAAAAGCAGCCUGUGUUGGUAACAGCAACCUGCUACACGGUCCCUGAAAGCCUAUGAUCAUUCAGUCCAUGGGCUGGAGCCCUUCCCUCCCUUCAGAAGAUCGGGUACUGGAGGGACAACCUCCUGCUGCUGCUGGUAUCCAU
ensembl:lncRNA